rfam:Opitutaceae bacterium TAV5, complete genome.
CCUGCCAAGCCUAUCAACGAUGCUCAAAUAGGCGGGC